rnacentral:rRNA from 1 species
AAUGAACGCUGGCGGCGUGCCUAACACAUGCAAGUCGGAUGUGCCCGCAAGGGUGCAUGGCAGACGGGUGAGUAACGCGUGGGGAAUCUACCUUUUAGUGGGGAAUAACGCUCCGAAAGGAGUGGUAAUACCGCAUGUGACCAUCGGCUGGGAUGCUGAUGGUGAAACCCUGGGACCUUCGGGCCAGGGGCUAGAAGAGGAUCCUGCGUCUGAUUAGCUAGUUGGCGGGGUAACGGCCCACCAAGGCGACGAUCAGUAGCCGGCCUGAGAGGGUGAUCGGCCACACUGGAACUGAGACACGGUCCAGACUCCUACGGGAGGCAGCAGUGGGGAAUUUUGCGCAAUGGACGCAAGCCUGAUGCAGCGACGCCGCGUGAGGGAUGACGGCCUGGUUGUAACGUACUUCUAUAGGACGAAGCGUAAGUGACGGU